CUCAGUUCGGAUUGGAGUCUGCAACUCGACUCCAUGAAGCUGGAUUCGCUAGUAAUCGCGCAUCAGCCAUGGCGCGGUGAAUACGUUCCCGGGCCUUGUACACACCGCCCGUCAAGCCAUGGGAGCCGGGGGUGCCUGAAGUACGUGACCGCGAGGAGCGUCCUAGGGCAAAACUGGUGACUGGGGCUAAGUCGUAACAAGGUAGC
rnacentral:rRNA from 1 species